GACGAACGCUGGCGGCGUGCUUAACACAUGCAAGUCGAACGGAAAGGCCCUGCUUUUGUGGUGUGCUCGAGUGGCGAACGUGUGAGUAACACGUGAGUAACCUGCCUUUGACUUUGGGAUAACUUCAGUAAACUGGGGCUACUACCGGAUAUGAGCUCCUGCUGCAUGGUGUGGGUUGGAAAGUUUCGGCGGUUGGGGAUGGACUCGCGGCUUAUCAGCUUGUUGGUGGGGUAGUGGCUUACCAAGGCUUUUACGGGUAGCCGGCCUGAGAGGGUGACCGGCCACAUUGGGACGACGAUACGGCCCAGACGCCUACGGGAGGAAGCAGUGGGGAAUAUUGCACAAUGGGCGGAAGCCUGAUGCAGCAACGCCGCGUGCGGGAUGACGGCCUUCGUGUUGUAAACCGCUUUCGCCUGUGACGAAGCGUGAGUGACGGUAAUGGGUAAAGAAGCACCGGCUAACUACGUG
rnacentral:rRNA from 1 species